rnacentral:rRNA from 1 species
UACAGAGGUGGCAAGCGUUGUUCGGAAUUACUGGGCGUAAAGCGCGCGUAGGCCGGCUUUUCAAGUCGAUUGUGAAAUCCCCGGGCUUAACCUGGGAACUGCAGUCGAGACCUGUCUAGCUAGAGUAUGGGAGAGGGAAGUGGAAUUUCAGGUGUAGCGGUGAAAUGCGUAGAUAUCUGAAGGAACAUCAGUGGCGAAAGCGACUUCCUGGACCCAAUACUGACGCUCAUGUGCGAAAGCGUGGGAGCAACAGGAUAGAAACCC